AGUGGAACUGCCGGUGGCAAGCCGGAGGAAGGUGGGGAUGACGUCAAGUCCUCAUGGCCCUUACGCGUGGGGCUACACACGUGCUACAAUGGCGGUGACAGAGGGAUAAUCCCUAAAAGCCGUCUCAGUUCGGAUUGUUCUCUGCAACUCGAGAGCAUGAAGUUGGAAUCGCUAGUAAUCGCGGAUCAGCAUGCCGCGGUGAAUACGUUCCCGGGCCUUGUACACACCGCCCGUCACACCAUGGGAGUUGGUUCUACCCGAAGGCGAUGUGCUAACCGCAAGGAGGCAGUCGACCACGGUAGGGUCAGCGACUGGGGUGAAGUCGUAACAAGGUAGC
rnacentral:rRNA from 1 species